rnacentral:misc_RNA from 1 species
GAUGAAGAACGCAGCGAAAUGCGAUAAGUAAUGUGAAUUGCAGAAUCCAGUGAAUCAUCGAAUCUUUGAACGCACAUUGCGCCCGCCAGUAUUCUGGCGGGCAUGCCUGUCCGAGCGUCAUUUCAACCAUCAAGCCCCAGGCUUGUGUUGGGGACCUGCGUCCGACGCAGGCCCUGAAAACCAGUGGCGGGCUCGCUGUCCACACCGAGCGUAGUAACUAACCUCGCUACGGGAGCGGCGCGGGCGCCUGCCGUAAAACCCCCAAUUUUCACAAGGUUGACCUCGGAUCAGGUAGGAAUACCCGCUGAACUUAAGCAUAUCAUAAGCGGAGGA